GACGAACGCUGGCGGCGUGCUUAACACAUGCCAGUCGAACGGAAAGGCCUGCUUUCCCUUGUGGAUUGCGGGUACUCGAGUGGCGAACGGGUGAGUAACACGUGAGUGAUCUGCCCCCAACUUGGGUAUAAGCCUGGGAAACUGGGUCUAAUUCCCGAUAGGACUGCAGGGUGGUGCCUGUGGUGGAAAACGAUUUUCUAGUGGUUGGGGAUGAGCUCGCGGCCUAUCAGCUUGUUGGUGGGGUAAUGGCCUACCAAGGCGGCGACGGGUAGCCGGCCUGAGAGGGUGGACGGCCACAUUGGGACUGAGAUACGGCCCAGACUCCUACGGGAGGCAACAGUGGGGAAGAUUGCACAAUGGGCGGAAGCCUGAUGCAGCGACGCCGCGUGGGGGAUGACGGCCUUCGGGUGGUAAACUCCUUUCGACCGCGAGGAAGCCACCUGGUUGGAAGGGUGGUGACGGUAGUGGUAGAAGAAGCACCGGCUAACUACGUG
rnacentral:rRNA from 1 species